rnacentral:misc_RNA from 1 species
CUAGAUAAAAACAGUAAAGGUAAGCGUAAAGCCACUGCAUCAAUUUCCAUUUCAAUUUUGAUGAUUCAUAUUCUGAACCGAGAACAAAACAAUUGUGUGUUUAACAGUUGAAUGUGAAGACAAAGCAAUGAGUCCAAAAGAAAUCAACAAUAUGAAAAUAACAGAGAUUUACGAUACAUGAAGUUGAGGUAGAUUGAAGAGUCCAUAUAUUUUAUAUCAAUGCUUGAAAUAUAGUAGCAGGAUGUUGUAACCGCAUGAAGAUGCUUUUGCUUAGAAUCCAUGAAUCUUGAUGUGUUCUUUCUUCACUAUGCCUGCCUGAACAAGGAAGGUGGAAACAUUUUUCCUUUGGUCACCUUGAAGCUGAAUAACCUGACCAAGCUCUGGAUCCUGGACAACAGUACCAUUGCAGCAAAACUCUUUCUUUAGGUCCUUCAGAAUCUUAUUAUAGCUGAAUUCCUUCUUUAAACCUUGGACAGUUGUCAGGCUUUUCCUACCAUUUCGCUGUUGUAUGCGUAUAUGCACAUAUUCCUUAGCUCCAGCACCUGAAUCCGCAGCAUUUGCCUCAGCGAAUGGAUCAAAGGUGGUAGGAAUAUGGACGUCGAGUUCAGACAUGAACCUUGAUUCUGAUCAAUUGAUGGGAAGGAAGUAACAAAUAUGUCCUUCGAUUGCAGAUACAAAAACUUGCAGCUGAUCUCGUUUCAAGAGAGAAGUGAGAAAGAAGAUAAGGAUUGGAGAAAAAUGGUGUUCAAAGGGUUUGGGCCUGUUCUGUUUUUAUAUCGGAGAGGAGUGCUCUUGACCACGAAUAAGUCCACCGCACCUCAAGCACUUCUGGAUUUUCGUAAAUCCAGCUCCCUCAAUUUACGUUUCCCUUUUUUAAACUACACAGACUACACAGAUACUCGGAUGGGGUUGGCAUGAAAAUUCAUCCAAAAAGAUCUUUCCUUUUUUCUGAUUUGGCAAUGUUUAUAUAUGGGUGGCACACAUAACAAGGGGAUGGUAAUAAGGAUGGCCUCACCUCACACCGUUUAACACUCCCGUGAAUGAUAUUGCAGGUGAAGCCAUGGGCAGCCCCAGGCAUUCACUUUCAGGAAACAACAUUUGCUUCAUGAACAAAAUGGGGAUUGAUAAUCACUAAAUUAACACAAUAAACCCCAAAUGAAUAAAACAGUAAUAUAUAAAUUUUUAUUUAAUAAUAGAUAAGAAAACAAACAUUUACUCGUCUUGGCCUUGAAGAGGCCAAUCACACAUCACAAUCUUAAAAGAAGAGAGAGCCAUUAGUCUCUCUCAGAAAUCACAAAUACAUAAUCUUUAGAAAGAUAGACCAUAGGAAUUCCAUUCCCCCACUCAGAAACCACCACGCAGGCGCAGGACAAGGUGAAGGGUCGAUUCUUUCUGGAUGUUAUAAUCAGCCAGAGUCCUUCCGUCCUCCAGCUGCUUACCAGCAAAGAUGAGCCUCUGCUGAUCCGGAGGAAUACCCUCCUUAUCCUGGAUCUUCGCCUUCACAUUAUCAAUAGUGUCGCUGCUCUCCACCUCCAAAGUGAUGGUCUUCCCAGUCAGGGUCUUAACGAAAAUCUGCAUCCCUCCACGCAGACGGAGCACGAGGUGAAGGGUAGAUUCCUUCUGAAUAUUAUAAUCGGCCAAAGUGCGACCGUCCUCGAGCUGUUUUCCAGCAAAGAUGAGCCUUUGCUGGUCUGGGGGAAUCCCUUCCUUAUCCUGAAUCUUAGCCUUAACGUUAUCAAUGGUGUCGCUGCUCUCGACCUCCAGAGUAAUAGUCUUUCCGGUCAAGGUUUUGACAAAGAUCUGCAUGCCACCGCGGAGACGAAGGACAAGGUGGAGGGUUGACUCCUUUUGGAUGUUGUAAUCGGCCAGGGUACGGCCAUCCUCAAGCUGCUUUCCGGCGAAGAUGAGACGCUGCUGGUCAGGAGGGAUUCCUUCUUUGUCCUGGAUUUUGGCUUUGACGUUAUCGAUGGUGUCGCUGCUCUCGACCUCGAGAGUUAUCGUCUUUCCGGUGAGGGUCUUAACGAAGAUCUGCAUCUUGAAGGGUUUUUUUAUGGACUGCAAAAGCCUGAUGAGAAAGAAAAGAGAACAACAAUGGUGGGUGGACUCCUUUUGGAUAUUA